UGAGGUGUCGGAUUAUGUUCCAUAACCGAGCGCAACCCCUAUUUCUAGUUGCCAGCGAGUAAUUUCGGGGACUCUAGAGAAACUUCCCGCGUAAGCGGUGAGGAAGGUGGGGACGACGUCAAGUCAUCACGGCCCUUACGUCCAGGGCGACACACGUGCUACAAUGGUAGGGACAGUGAGUUCAAGCCGGUAACGGUGAGCUAAUCUACAAACCCUAUCUCAGUUCGGAUCGAGGUCUGCAACCCGACCUCGUUGAAGCUGGAAUCGCUAGUAAUCGCAUAUCAGCCAUGAUGCGGUGAUACGUUCCCGGGCCUUGUACACACCGCCCAUCAAGCCAUGGAAGUUGGG
rnacentral:rRNA from 1 species